rnacentral:lncRNA from 1 species
AAAAAUUCUUUUACAAUUAUGUUCAAGGUACUACAGGUCUGACAACAAGAUUACAAUACUUCAUCAAAACAACUUUGUGGCACUACCACCAAACACCUACUAUCAAGAAGUUCCUUUGUCAAGCACCAUGCUUCAAUCGCCUGCCACAAAUGUCCAGCUACCCGCUCUCAAGAGUCAGAAGUUAUCACUCAACAUAGAUAAAAAUAAAGGGAUGAGCUAAAAGCCUAGUAAGUAGAUCAGCAUUAUUGCAUUCCGGCCUAUAUAUAAAUACAUUUAUAGACAUUUCCCCCAAUUUAUACAGUAGUCACAACGUGGAGUCAUGCAUCACAAUUCUUUAGUAGUGUAAGAAGAAGUAUAAUUCAGAUAUCAGGACAUCACAUAUUGCAUAAGCUUGCAUUUACUACAUCUCUUAUCACAAUAACGAAACAGAAACUCAGACGAAACGCACAAUGCACACAGGCAGAGACUAGAGUUGCCUACUCCCGAAGUAGAAGUCUCAUCGAUCAGGCCAAACUAAUCAUAUAACUUGGAACUUCUACCCUCACUCAGGAGGUAAAACAAUGAUAAAUGGGUGUCCCAUUUCGUAAUAUCCUCAUACAUGCACACAAUCCCCAGCGCGUUUUGAGGCUUUCGAUAGGCGGUUGCCUUACAAGACACCACCUUCUCCUUAUGCCUUUCAGACAAGAGGGUGUUACACUACCACUGUGUGACCCGAUACGUAGUGCCUAUAUAGAUUCAGGGGGAGCGACUCUCCCAGACAUUCACAUUCGCAUCCCAACCCCAUUCCUAUCAUGGGGGUCAGGGCAAGAUCCUAGUUGUCGGCAUUGCUUUCCUAUCAUAACAGUAUAGAUAGCACCACCAAAGGGUGACCCAUUGCGUAGUGCCUUAUAUCAGAAGUCUCACAAUAUCAUACAUCACUACCAAUGAGUGUCCCAUUGUGUAGCAGUCCAUAUUACAAUCACAUCAUAACAGUAUCCCAUUGUGUAGUGGUAUAUAUCACAGUCAUAUCAUAACAGUAUCCCACUACCAAUGGGUAUCCCAUUGCGUAGUGGUAUAUAUCAUAGUCAUAUCACACCUAAUUGCAACUGUGUACAUGCAUACUCAAGCAUUCAUUCACUCAUGCUUUGUUAUUUUGCAGGAAUUCAGGAGCAUUCACAGUAUCAUAAGCAUGCAUAUCCAGUGCCUCAUGACAUAUAAUUUCAAUCUCUUUAUGAAGGGUUUAAGCUUUAUUCAGAACCAUAUAAAUUAGUGCACAAAUUUUCAUGAAUCAUACAACAAUUUGGGAUUCACUACCAUUUCCAUCGGUGAUAUACAUAUGCGAAAGGAGGUAUGGUAUCCGAUUCGUAAGAAAUUUCAACUCAAUUUCAACAUCAACUUGAAAUAGACAUAUAUAUCUUUCACUUAAAGGAAAAUUGAAGUUAUUUGACCAUCAUUUGGUCAGCCAAGAGCUCAGUGCAAACUGGACUACAGUCCUAAAAUUUCUGCAAUUCCUUACAGUAAUAUGUCCCCAUAAAUAGAGGUGUAACAUCCAAUCUGUAUGAAAUUUUGAUAUGGUUUCAAAACCAAUUUCAAAAUAUUCACACAUAUCUUUCAAAUGGAGGUAGUUUGAAAGCAUUUGGACCUCGUUGACUACUUAAACACUUAGCACAAUAGAAGUAACAGUCCUAGAAUUCAUUGAAAUCUGAUAACAGUGACAUUCUCUCACAAAUAUAAGCAUAUCUUCCAAAUCAAGAGGAAUUUCAACUUAGCUUAAACACCAAAAUCAAAGUAUACACAUAUAUAUUUCAAAUGGAGGUGGUUUUGGAGCCAUUCGGAUAUCAUUUGGUUAGUCAAAUUUUAUUACAAGAACAUGAAAUUUCCUUGGAAAUUCACAGUGUAGUCAUGGCACAUCUCAAAGAACAAUCAAAACUUCCAAUUUAUGGUGGUUAUCAACAUGAAUCCUUUUUCAUCUUACAUUAGAUACAUGGGAACAUCAUUUCACAAAUUUUCAUGGCUAAGAAGAAUUUCAGUGCUCAUUUUGUCAUGCAAUUGAAGGCCUACUUUCCUGGAAAAAAAACAAGACCCAUGCAACCACAUUUCUUUUCACAACUCACAUACAUGCUCAAGCUUAGUUUCAUACUUAAUUUCAUGCUUUCAUAUCUAAGGACAUACAAGGUGUUUGAUCCACUUACAUUGUAUGCUAUGGUGCUCCCAAAUUCCUCCAAACAGUCCACUUCAAGCUCUCUAACAAUGGGCACAAAAGGGGCUGAGAAUUCUAAGAGUUUGGCUUACAAGAGUGAGAGAACCAGGUUUGGGAGAGAAGAGAAGGGCUUAAGUAGUCCAUAGGUUGGAGGUGGCAGCCCAGAUUUACCAAGUGGAAGACACAGUGGUAUACAACUGGACAUAUGGCAGGUGUGGAAGCAUGCAACAGGCAGGUGGCACCUACGGUCAUCCACAGGCUCGACGGUGUCUCACAUGGCAGCAUAGCGCAUGGCGACACUCUUUUUUUACUUCUUAUUACUGUCGUGCAUGCCUCAUUUUUCUUUCUCCUCUUAUUACUGAGCACGCUCAUUGCUACGCAUGCUUACUAUCGUGCACGUCUUCUCUCUCUUUUCUUCUCAUUGCCGCCACAUGCGUUCUUCUUCUUACCUCCGCGGGUGUUCUUUUCCUGACUGCCACACUUGUUCUCCUUCUUACCAUUGCGCACGUUCUUCUCCUUACCGUCGCACGCGUUCUCCUUCUCACCGCCACGCGCGUUCUUCUCUGUCAUGUGCUCUCCUUUCUUUCCUUCCUUCUUCCACAGAGCACUUCACUAUGCCAAGAAAAUCUCAGUCCUUACACACGAUGUGUGUGAAUAUGCGUGUGGUGGAUUUGUGACCGCACAGACGGGCAUAGGAGCCGACAGAGUGGGGUGUAUGCAGCGAUGCACUAGUUCUAGUGAUGCCUUCGUGAAGCGUGGGUGGAUUACCCGCUGAGACAAUGGUCUUAUUAAGACUCACUAGAUGAAGAAUAUAAGUGGUAUGAUUAGCUUAUGACUGGUGGGAUACCUGCCAGUGACAGAGUGCUUAUGAGAGAAGGUAGUUUCAGAGCCACCCAUGUAGAUGACAUCAAUGGAUUUCCCUUUAUGUCGGACGAGGAGGGAGAAGACAUUUGAGUACAUCUUCUCUAAAUUUUCCUAGCCUGAACUAGGAUGGUAGGGCCAGCCGUGCCGCUUGAGGAGUACAGGGGAGAAGCAGGAUUACGAAGAGGUCACAAAUAUGGGGAUGAUGAAGCCCCCAACUUCGACAAAAAAGGAGUAAAAGGACUCCAUUACAGUUUUAAAAAGAGAAAGAAGUGAGGUGUUUUUUUUAUAACAGUAUGAGCCAAAUAUAGGGUGGCUUGUCCCCAGUGGAGUAGGUGGCGUGUCCCCAGUGGAGUAGCCAGUUGGUCGGGGCCUGAUUUUUCUUUGAGCGUAUGGUGAGAAAAAUCCUCUCUCAAACAAUUGUAGAGGGCCCGCGCGCGCUAUACAUCUGUGAGUGUGCGCACGCGUGCUCUCCUAAGCGCGGAUAGGAACCAACAAAGAGAGAGUUUUUACGAUGCUGGUGCGUUUAGGCACUUAUCUCGUCAUUUGAGGUUCGGGGACAAGCCUGGGUGGUUUCAUCCUCUUAGAACAGUUACGAAGCCCUUUACCUGUCCACCGACAAAGUUUGGACACAAACUCUCCUCAAGAUUUUGACACAUCGCUUGACUUUCUUGUGCAAAAAACUGCAAUGUUGAUUCGAUGAUGGCUGGCCAAAAGGAUAAGAAAUAGAGGGUGGCGAGAAUCUCCCUAUCCAUGCAGACGCUAUGUGCUCGGGCGAUCGAAAGGGUUAGAACCCUCUUGACUAUGGGCUCAGGAUAACUCCUCCCGAGUGACUGGGGGAGAGAGCAUAUGCAUCUCUGAGGACUCAACUCAACUAUACAGAGAGAAAGUUAGAACGAUGGUCUAAGGGUUGGAACUCUUAGGCUGACCCUGAAAGGUAUUGAGUUCGAGCGUAUGUGGGAUAGCGGGAUGCUGCAGGUUUUACUGCUUUUACGCUCGAAAUGUAAAGGAUAAAGAGACAUGACCGUGCAUUGGCCGCAAGCACAAGUCACUACGCGAGGUGAGCAAGGCUGAAGAGAGAGAGAAGAAGAAAAGAAAAGAGAGAGAUCGAAGCCGCGUGAUUAGGUUGGGCCAGCAGUAGUUUCUCUCUUUGAAAAUUUUCUCUCUCCUCGGCGUGGGAUUUAGGGUUAGAAGCAAAAGACAAGUGAAAAUAAGCUUAAUGCCUUUAUUUCAUUGAUGAAUGAUCCGGCCCUUUUACAAUUGACCUAGGCUUGUAUUUAUAAAGGAUCCAAAAAACAGGGGGGGGAUGCGCAAACUAUGCCUAACUACAAUUAAAAGAAAUUAUAAUAAAUUUCCAUAAUAAAAAAUAAUGACCAAAAUAUCCCUUAAACCUUUCAUGCUAAUGACAACACCGUCCCUCUUUGAGGGGCCUCGCCAUUGGUAGAUCUUGAAAGAUUUUUUGGGAGGUUGCAGCGGUGAUUCAGAUGAUCCAUCAUUGUAGUCUUGAUGCUUGCUUGAUUCUGAAGAGUUUAAUGUCUUUUGAUCGUCUUGAGGCAAACUUUUUCCCAAGAGGUGGAAAUCCAGCUAGUUCAUGAACUAUGGUCGUUAUUGUAGUGCAGUCCAUGGUAUUCCAAGUCUUUAUUUUGAUUGCAAAUUAAAGAGGAGACUUCCUCAGUUGUUUUGCAUUAAUUUUUGUCCAAUUUGGUCCUUGCUUGAAGUAGUUUCUGAUUUCGAGAGAUCACAAGAAAAAGGGAUUCCAUCAACCUAUCGAUCUUUCUUUCUUCAACCUUGGAAUCUACAUUUUAUCCGACCUUAGAUUGAAUGUAAAAGUUAUACCAGCUUGUAGCCCUUUGUGAUACGGUCUCAUCGGACCUGUCUUUGUGAUGAACCGAUGUACAGAUCUCAAGUUAUGCUUCACGAAGUCCGAGAUGUCUUUCUUCAAAAAAUUUGAUUUCCAUGGUUUUGGGCUCGUCUUCUUUCUAGAAACACUUUGGCUCUAGGUCACAUCACGAUGCGUGCCAUAUGUCAAAAUGACUAGGUCGUCGAGACCUAGCUUGUAUCAGAAAUUGAGCUUGUUCCGAUUUCAAUUGAGCAAUCUGUGGGUAUUUUUGUAAAAAAAUCUUGAGAUGUGGAGAACGCAACCUCCAUGAACGGGGACUGGUUCGGUUAGGCCACAUCGCAAAUAGUGUACAACCUACCCAUUUGGGGUAAUUUGGGCCUAUAAUGCUCCCACUAGGUCCGAUUGAGCCCAAACUUGGUCCCUAAGGGCUUUUCAACGUUCUGGAUGCAAUGGAAGUAUUAUGAUAUUGUUUUGAAGCCCUAAGCAUAGGGCUAUAGUUAUAAGGUCUCCUUUUGACAUGAUAGAACUUUUCCAAAGGUUGCCUAGUAUUAGGCUUAUUCUGCAGUGUUCCCUUGGUCUGGCGGUGUCUUGGGGACUAGCAGGACCAACUCACACUAGCUCUCUCCUUAUUUGCUUCAAGGAUGUAAGUAUGUCAAAAAUGACGUACAACAACUUUCCCCGACGAAUGUUGCGCUUCAAGAGAAGCGAGAAGUGCAAUCAUUCGGAAUGAGAUUUUGUCAUCGAAGUUCAUCUUUUCGAAUCCUCACUAAGACAUGUUUUUAUUGCCGCUUAACAAACAUUUUUUUUCUUCUCGAUCACCGGCAUCAGCGCGAUCCUUGAGGGGUAGAUCAUGCUAAGCUUCCUUCUGAAGAGGGUCGAUUGAAGUGGACUCUAACCAUUGGGGGUCUUGUUUAAGGGCUUCAUUCCCAAUGCUAUUGGAAUCUCUUUUUUUUUGGGAGAGCGCACCAAUAAGUUGCCUUAUGAAGGGCUUACCAUUCCCCGUCAACGAUGCCUCCUUAUUUGACUAGCUAGUUGGUUCCCUUUGUGAUCUUUGCCCCAAUCUAGCUGGUGAGGGAUUCUUGGUUCUAGGGUCAGAAAUUUGAUUUUUGGCUUUGGGGCCAAGAAUUUUGAUUUUUGAAUCUAGGGUCGGGGAUUUUGAUUUUUGGCUCUAAGGCUAGAGAUUUUGAUUUUUGGCUCUAGGGCCGGGGACUUUGAUUUUUGGAUUGGCGCUGGGGCUGAAUUAUUUUUUUAUUGGCAUUGGGGUAGGAAUUUUUUUAUUGGCGCUUGGGCCAGAAUUUUUUAUUGGUGCUUGGGCUAGAAUUUUUAUUGUCGCUGGGGCUAGAAUUUUUUAUUGGCACUGAGGGCAGAAUUUUUUAUUGGCGCUUGAGCUGAAAUUUUUUGAUUGGCGCUGGGGCCGAAAUUUUUGAUUGACACUGGGGCCGGAUUUGUAGAUGGCUGAAGUCAUCUUUAGGGACACCUGUCAACCCUUUCGGGUUUUAAUCCAAGCGCCCUUUCGGGUUUUCACUUGAACUGGGUAGGAAUGGUGCCACAAAAUGUGGUUUUCACCGACUCCUUUUUUAGGCAUUUUUACUCGUGACUUCGAUGUCACGUCCGCCUUUUAUUUACACUUUUACUCAUGGUGCCCAUGCGGGUUUUCACCAUGCUCGAUUUUCUUGUGUUCAGGACACUUAUACUCAUGGCUAUAUGGCUAUGCUUGCCUAUCAGUUUUACUGAUGGUGCCCUCCCGGGUUUUCACCAUGCCCAUUUUUCUUCUUUCCUCUUGAAGGGGUCGUGCCUGGAUCGGGCUUUCUAGGGUAGUAGACACCGUAGAUGAGCUGUUGUCAGGGGGGAAGAGUGUGAUAAGAUUGUUUAUUUCCUUCGUCUUUUUUUUUGUGUAGGUAAAUUUAAGGUCGUGCCUUCGAGACUGUGUAUGAUUGUGUGGGGGAAGUCUAUCUAGUUCUUGAUAGUGAUGGGUAGCUUGUUCCUCAUAUGUCAUUCCAUAGUGAAGGGCUAUUCUGAGGGAAGGCAAUUGAAUUUCUAGAGGCAACACAACUUCAUCCCCCAUAUCCUGAAGGAAAGGCCUUUUUUAUCACAAAUAACCCUUAAACCUUUUGUGCUAAUGACAAGACCAUCCAUCUUUGAGGGGCCUCUCGCCAUUGCCAGAUCUUUGAGGCUUUUCUGGACGGUUUCGGCGGUGAUUCAGAUGAUCCAUCAUUGUAGUCUUGAUGCUUGCUUGAUUACGAAGAGUUUGAUGUGUUUUGAUCGUCUUGAGGCAGACGUUUCCUGAGAGGUAGAAAUCCGGCUAGAUGAUGAACUUUGGCCAUUAUUGUAGUGCGAUACGUGGUGUUCCAAGUCUUUAUUUUGAGUGUAAAGAGGAGACUUUCUCAGUUGUUUUGCACUAUUUUUUGUCCGUUUUGGUCCUUACUUGAAAUACUUUCCAAUUUCAGGAGAUCACCGGAAAAAGGGAUUCCAACGACCAAGCGAUCUUGCUUUCUUCAACCUUAGAUCUGUGUUUUAUCCAACCUUAGAUUUAGUGUAAAAUUCAUAUCAUCUUGUAGCCCUUCGUGAUACGGUCUCAUCGAACCUGUCUUUAUGAUGAUCCGAUGUACAGAUCUCGAGUUAUGCUUCACGAAGUCCGAGAUGUCUUUUCUUCAAAAAAUCUGAUUUCCAUGGUUUCGGGCUCGUCUUCUUCCUAGAAAAACUUUGGCUCUAAGUCACAUCACGACACGUGCCAUAUGUCCAAAUGAUCGGUUCGUCGAGACCUAGCUUGUGUUAGAAUUUUAACUUGUUCUGAUUUCAAUCGAGCAAUUUGUGGGUGUUUUUGCAAAACGAUCUCAAGAUGUAGAGAACGCAACCUUCAUGAAUGGGGACUGGUUCGGUGAGGCCACACCGCAAUAGUGUACGACCAACCUUUUUGGGGUAAUUUGGGAUUAAAAUAUUUUUGGUAGGUCCGAUUGAGACCAAAUUUGGUCCCUAGGGGUGUUUCAAUGUUCUGGAUGAAAUGGCAUUGAUCUGGCAAUGUUUUGAAGCCCUAGUAUAGGGUUGUAGUUGUAAGGUCUCCUUUUAGCAUGAUAGUACUUUUCCAAAGGUUGCCUAGUGUUAGGCUUAUUCUGUAGUGUUCUUUUUGUCCGGCGGUGUUUUGGGUACCAGUAGGACCAGGUCGUCAUUGGCACUCUGCAGAGAUGUAAGAACGUCAAAAAUGACGUACAACAUAUGGUUCAGGGGUUUACUAAGAUAGUGUGGUCCUAAGGAUUCAAGAGUAUCACAGAAUUUGUCAGUUUUAAAAAUGGGGUGUCUACAAAUGCUCCUCUUUGACACUCCCUGUCCUUUGAGGGACAAGUGAGUGACAAAGAAUUAGACACUCUUUGGCGCUCCCCGUCCUUCAAGGGGCAAGUGAGUGGCAAAGAUAAUGCAAACAUUUUAAAUUUUAUCUUGACGUUUCGUGGUCAGAGAGCACACCAAUUGUCCCUCCAAGACAUUGCGGUCCCUGCUGACCCACCUAGGGCACUUUCAUCAUAGGGUUUUAGCGUGCGAUGUCGGUGAGUUACACAAGCUUGAAACUUGAGUUGGAUUUUCUAGCCAUGCCACUUAACUUAAGGGGUUUUCACAUUUUCAAAGUCUUAAACCUGGCAUUUUUUUUUAUGCCCUUAGGGUUCCAUAAGGUUUUCUAUAGGUUUUCCUUGUUUAGGAAAAUGUUUGCUUCAUCAAAUUCUAAAAAGAGAGAUAAGGUGGCAACGUGGUAAUCAUCAUAUACGGGCGUCCAUGCUCCUUCAUUUUUAAAAGUCUUUUUAGAUAUUUUGAAAGCAAGGGGGAAUUUUGAAAUAAAACCCGGAGCUUUGAACAUGUCACUAUUUUAACAAAAAAAAUCAAAGUUUUUUGAAAAUACAAGACAUAUAAUAAAAAUUUUGAAAUGAGAAAUAUAUUUUGAAAAACAAAUUUUCGUUAGCAGUUUUAGCUCCUGCCACCAUAGAGCCCUCUAAGCAGUUUAACGUCAUGUAAUGAUGGACAUGGUCGUUGGCAAUUAUACUCAUACAACCAUGAAGUGUAUUUUAAAAAGAAAAGUUUUGAAAUGAAAUUUUUAAGAUUUUUUUCUUUUAAAAUUGUGGGUUUCAUAGUUUAACCACUUGUGACCCCUUUGGUGGACCCUAUAUGAGCAUGUCAGGUCCUUGCUUGAAUCCUCAAGACGAGGAAUCAUCAAGUAUUUCUUUAUCUUCAAACCUCAGCUCUUGUAUUUCUAUUCAAAUGAGAGUUCUCUAGAGGUUUCGAGCAAAACAUAGUCUUGAAAAUACAAGAUACUACCCCUGGGUGUUUAGAAUCUCUUUGGAUUUUCGAUUUCAUUCCUCCACCAUUUACCUUCCAAAGUCCAGAUGAUCGAGGUCCUUAACAAUGUUCCAUCAGGUUAAGGCUCAUUGAUUUUUCUUUUGACAUCAUUCUGACUCCUAAAGAAGGAAGAGAAGAUGUUUAGAGAGAAAAGACUUUGGAGAAUAGAGGGAAAUGAGAGAACUCCUUCUUUUUCAUCGCCCUGGGGUCUCUUUCAGGUGUUCAGCCCGAUAGCCCUUUUUUUCAACACUUGGGAUUCCUUUAGGAUUUUAAACCCAACGGAUUUUUUUUUUUUGCAUUGCCUCGGGGUUCCUUUCAGGUGUUUAGCCUGGUUGCCUUGUUUCCAAUGUUUGGAGUUCCUUUCGGAUUUUCAACCCAAUGGAUUUUUAUUUAUUUAUUUUUAAAGAAUGAAAUGAUGACAAAGGAUGAGGAGGAGGAAGAAGAAGAGUCAAUGGUGUUUGUUUUUUUUAGCAUUUUGCUUUAAGACUAUGUAAGAAUUUGAUCAUCUUUCCCUUAUCUAGGUGACAGAGAGGUUCUAAAAUCAAUCAUCCUCUUAUUUCUUUGGCAUCUAAUAUUUCUUUGACAAUGAUUGUCAAGUUCCCCUGGGAUUUAUCCUUUGAAUUGCCCCACUUGAACCUUGAUUUUGGGACUAAGAAUCAUUCUUAGUAUCCUAAGCCCUCAAUAUUUCUCAUGGAUGGACAAGCUCAUUAGGUCCUCGCCGUUAAUGAGAUAAUUUGUGUUACUCAUUAGGCGUUAAUGCCUUUUAAAGUUUGAGACUUGAAUGCCCCAUUUGGUUUUUUACAACGGGUGAGUGAUCACCCAACUCAUUUUCACUUGUCUCUUUCAUUUUAAAUUUUGUGUUUCUUUUCAGGAGUUAAUUUCGCAGUAGGCUCCUUCUUAGCGUUUAAGCUCGAGUGAGACUCUCACACAAGAAGAGUGACUAAGUUAACAUUGGAUGACCUUAUGGCCCGUUGGGAGUUAACAAACAAGGGCUCAAUCUCAUUAAUUGCUCAUGUUGUGCCCUCUUCGUGAGAGGAGAUUGCCCAUAUUAAGUAGUUUGAUAGGGUUGCCCCUCUAGGGAUUUCUGUUCUGUUAGGAAUUUGUUCUUCAUGAGAUGAACUUUUUUGAUAUGGCGGUGCCCCAGUUAUUGAAAUUGUGCUCCUGCCCCACUUAAGCUCUAGAAAUUCCUCCUCUUUAAGAGAUGACCCAAUUCGAUCUUCAACAUUUUGUUCUUCAUCCUAGAUAGGCAAAUCAUCCACACUAUCUUGUGAAGGUGGCCCCCCCUUAUAAUUUCUAAAGGUUCGAGCUCUUUCAACUCUAGUGGCGGCAUCAAAUAUUUUGGAAUAGUCAAAUCGGGGCUCUUUGUUUUUCCAUCAUCUAUAACUGGGUUCAUCUCAAAGGGUGACUCAAUUAAAUCUUCUAAGCUUGGCUCAUCAUCCCAUAUAGGUAGGUUGGAGAGGAAGUCUAGUGAAGGUGGCCCAGGUAGGCCUCUUAAGAGUUUUAAAAGAUCAGCUUCCUUUGGUUUUUAAGGAAAUAAGUUUUCUUCAAGAAUUUGUUCCACUAUUUCCUUAAGAGUAAUAAUUCCAAAACGAGGGGAUUCUUCACCUUCGUGAACUUGGAGUCCAUUAGCUUCGGAGCCUUGGUUGAGCUUAUGCUUGAUUCCAUUUUGCUUCUGCAAGUUUUAUUCAUUGUCACACAUGUGUGAAUCAUUUAUUAUGUUACUUUGAAAGUACAGGUUGAAGGGAUCAUCUGUCCUAGUUUGAUUCUCGAUGAUGGGGACUUCUUGUGCCACUUUUGAUACUGCAUCUUGAAGUGGAAUUCCACAUGUGAUGAGCCCUUUCUCUUGCCCUUUUUUGGGUUAUGGGCUUGGAGUUAAGGUUAUCCUCAUUACUUUGAUCUUGAAGAUCCUUAGUCGUUAACUCAUGGGUGAGCUUAUACUCGUUUUGUUCUUCAUCUACUAGAAUUUUCAAUUGAUUUCUUCUUGUGCUUCAAGGCUAUUGUGGAUGUUUUUUGGGUUUUGGUGUAGUUUGUUAUUCUUUUGAGUUAAUUAGGUUGACAUCAGAACUAUUUGUCGAGACAUCUAGAGUUUAUGUUUUUUCUCUACCAUCAGCCUCUUUUUUUUUUACACUUAUCGUGUCGUUAUCAAUGAGGUCAUGAACUCUAUGCCUGAAAGCUCGGCAUUCUUCAAUGUUAUGAGCAUAAAUUUGAUGCCAAUCACACCAUAAAGAUGUAUCACCUCCAUGGAAGGGAGGAAUCCUGACUACUGCAGGAAAUUAUAUGAGCCUUGCCUUAAGCAACUUCUUAGUGACAUUGGUCAUAGGCUCAUUAAUGGGAGUGUACUCCCUUGGUGUGGAAGUCUGCAUCCUCCAUGUGGUAGAGUAAUUUUUAGUCAUUUUUUGCCAAUGGUUUGCACAAUGGUUGCCUUUCUUGAUCAUGUUCACCUCUCCUUCUUGAGAGGGUUCUUCAUCAGUCGAGUUAUUAAAGACUACGACGUCAUCCUCCUCAAUCGUUCAUAACGCGCUCCUCUUUCAAGCAUAAUGCAAACGAGUAAGGUACCAUCUCAUUGUUGAAGAAGGUGACAUAUUCUGAAGUCAUGUUCUCUAAUGUCAUGACUACCUUCGCAGAUUCAAGGAGUGGGGUUUCGACGACUCGCAUAGCGGCCUCUCUGAAUCUUGUUAUAAAUUCAAAAGGAGACUCGCUCGAAUUUUAUUUGGUGGAUGUUAAUUCACCAAGGGUAAUAGGUUUUAGCCUUGCCCCACAAUUAAAGGAAACAAAUUGCCUGAACAUUUCGUCAGGAGUUGCUUAAGGGUUAUCCUUCAUGAAUAUCUCGUACCACAUCAGGGGCUCUUCUGAUAAGCCAUGCGAGAAAAUGGCCUUAAGUUUGGGUAGGUCUCGCAAUGAAUGGACCAUUACUAAAUAGGCGUUAAUGUGUGCCUCAAGAUCCUCAUUCCCAAAAAAAUUGUUUCUGAAUUGUGGCAUCACAAACCCUACUGGUAGAUCUUCUAGGUGUCCUAUAGUUUUUUAUACAUAAGCUUUAGGAGCUGAGAAAUCUCAUAUUCUCAUUUUCUCUAAAGAGUCUUGAAGGCAUUUCAUAUGGGUGAAUUGAGUCGUUGUUAUAACAAUGACCUGGCUCGGCUGCAUGGUUAGUUGAACCUGGAUUUGUGAUAUGUGGUUUGUAUAGACUGGCUGUUGUGCCCAUGUAGCAGGUUUCCCCAAGAAUUGAGCCUGGGGAGUGUGUUGAACUUGGUAUGCUGGUUGUCGACAUAUAGACUCACCUGAGUUGAAUUGGGUCAAAGGAGACCCAUCUCUCGGAGCUUGAACUACAUGGUCAUGCAAGAAGGCCUGCAUGAUAGGAUCACCACUUGACUAAGAUGGACAACUCGAGCUGCUACGAUGACUAGACCUCUGACCUUGAGGAGUGAGGUCCAUCUGUCCUUGACCUUGACUGGAUGAUCAGACCUAAGGUUGGGAUAUUCUCUUGUCUCAACGCUGGACCGGACGAGUGAAGGGAGUCCAUAACUAUUGCCAGAUCGAGUCUGCCCCUAGGUAGCCUUGAGCUCGAGUGAGGACUAGAGUUAAACCCCUUGGCCCUUAGUCAAUUAGAUUGGCAGGCUAGCACCCCUAAGAUUAUCUUAGUUUGAGCCAAUAGGUUGGGUAUGCCUUAUAGCUUGAACUUCUGACCUAACCUGUUUGGAUUCACUAUGUUGGAUGGUGUACCCGCAGUAUGCAUGCACCCUAGGAUUGUCUUGAUACUUCGUUAGGUCAAAACUCUAACUUUUACUAGUGUGGGAUUGCUUGGGUAGACUUUCCCUAAUUGUGUGUGAAUCCUCUUGUCCCCUGACUAGCUGAUUACUGAUACUAGAAUGCGAGGCUUCUAAUUGAACAUCGGGGUUAACCCGGUUGGGAUUGGUUGACUCAGGGAUCUACUCCUAACUCUUGGCAUGUCGAUGGAUGUAAGGCUAACCCCCGUGUCCUAGAGGAUUGCUCAGGCCUAACUCCUCAAUUGUUCAGGGUGUUACGGACCCUGCUAACCUGUUGGCCUAUGGCUUCUAAAUCAUGGCCCUAAGGGUUACCAAUUGGGCGGCACCGACCACUAGGUAUGGUCCCAUGUGGUUUGAGACUCGGCUCACUAAUACGAGUAAUAUAGAUAUGUGAGGGAGCAUUAUGAUGGUGCCUCUCAGACUGAUUAGGUCCCCUUGAUCUAAACUGGGCUGGAGCUGCAGAGUUAUACCUCAUUCUGGUUUGAUCAUGGGCCAUGACUCCUAGACUUGUACUAAACUACAAGGUUAGACUUAGCUUGGACAUGGACCUAGACUAGGCUUUGCUUGAGCCUCAAUGGACCUAGUUGGAUUAAGACUCGAACGUGGCUAAACCUAGACAGAAAACAGUUUAAACUGAGGCCUAGACCAAGUGUGAGCCUUGUUUGGGCUUAGGUUUGAACCCUAAACUAAGUUAAACAUAGUUUAGGUCUAAGGGAAACUUUGAAUCUAGACAUAAUCUAGGACCUAAUCAGAUGGAUCUUGCUAGACUCGAUGGGUUUUAGUUUGAACUUUGAGAUAAGAUGAACCUAGUCUAGUUCAAGAGGCAACUCUAUACUUAGACUAGGCUAGGACCUAGACUAGAGUCUAGACUAGAUGGGUAUGAGUCUUGGCUCGAAUUGAGAGGGGGCUAGGUUCGGACCUAGGUGCAAGGCUGGGCACAAGCCUAGACUUAACCCAAAAGGUUUAAAAUUUAGACCAAAUGUGGACCCGAAGUAAGGUUUAGGUGAGAUUUGGUGUGAGCUUAGUUCGAACCUGGCCUAGAUCAGGUACAAGCCUGGACUUCAACCCAUAAGGUUUCAGCUCGGACUAGAAGUGGAUCUAGACUGAGAUCUAAGACUAAUCAAUUGUAAUAAGCAAAAAAAACACUCAAAAAAUUCGCCCUAAACUGUGGUUAGACUAGGUCUGAGUGGGUUCCUAACUAUUGAAAUGCGGUUAGGCUGAGUAGGUCCCCAAGUAGGUCCUGACCACCUGUUAAAGGAAUCAAUCAGGUCCUACUAUGUGUGGAGUUGCUUUAAGGCUCAGGAUUACAAAGGGGAGCUCAUAGAUUAAGUUACGCAAACCUCAACCGCCUCGGCUCUCAAGUCUAGGUUCCCAUCACGACGUUAAUAUCCCAAAAUUUUAUUGGUUUCCCGAGCUUCCCCGGUCCGUUGUGUGCAGGAAGUGUGUAAAGAAGCAUGCGAGUGAAAAGAAAGUGGCAAGCAAGCAAACACACAAGAAAGAACGUGUAAGCAUUUGGCAUAUCAUGUCAAGUGAUGUGUGCUUCGAGUCGGAAUUCAAUCGACUGAGAGCGCAGUUCAAGUGUAGGGGUGAGCAACCCCUAAGAACGUAUACAGUUAAUAAAAGUGGAACCAGGCAAAGCCCAUACCUAGUUGAGCACUCCUCGAGUCGAGGGUGACUCGAUUAGGACACAAUUAAAGAUGGAGUGCAGGUGACCCUCGAAAGUUUAUCCUCUUUUUCUUUUCUUUUUUAUUUUUUCUAUUUUUUUUUAUGAUUAACAAAGAGAAGCGACAAAUGUUGAAUCACAAGGAAAGAAAUGAAAAGAAAUUUUUUUUUUUACAAAGUAUUUUUAUUUUUAUUUUUAUUUUUAUUUUUUAAAAAAGAAGAUGCCUUAAAAGUGAGUUUUUUUUAAGUGAAGAUUAUCUUUUUUCUUUUUCUUUUUUGUGAAAAUGAAAUGACCUAGAAAAAGAAACUUUUGUAGCAAAAGUGAUUAUUAUUUUUUUAAAACCAAAUAAGCUUUAAAAGUUGGUUUUUUUUUUUCUUGCAAAGUAAAAUUUCUUCUUUCAUAAAUGAGAAAGGCCUUAAAAAAAAAAUUUAAAAGAAAAAUUGCCUUUAAAAGGUUUUUUAUUUUUUUUGAAACAAAGAUUCCAAAAAAAUUUGUUGAUUUUUUUUUUCUUAGGAAAGUGCUUUUUUAUUUUAAAAUAAAAAUGGCUAGAGAUACCUCCUUUUUUUUAAAACACCCACUUCUUCUUCUUCUUCUUUUUGUGUUUGGAGAAAGAAUGGCCUUACAAAAAUAAAAACAACUUUUUCACAACAACUAACCCUUUUUCUUUUUUCUUUUGCAAAAGUGAUUUGUUUUUUUGCUUUUUUGUUUUUUUUUUUUCGUUUGAAGUAAAUAGAUUUUUUUUUGUUUUUUGUUUUUGGCAAUGACAAAGACCUAAAAACAAGUUACUUUCCUUAAACUUCGUUUUAACUAAGAAAAGAAGGAAAAUAGAACAAAUAAAGGCCAAAACAAAUUUUUUGGAAAGCAAAAUUGCCUCAAAAGUGAUUUUUUUUUUAACUCAAGUGCUAAAUUACAAGAGAAGAAAUUAAUCUGUUUUUUAAUCUAAAAAAUCCCUUUUUAAUCUAAAAAAAUCAUUUUUCAUAAUCUAAAAAAAGCAAAUUUAUUUAUUUAGUUUCACAAAAUAUUAAGUGAGAUGAAUACACAAGGAGAAACAUGAGGUUUUUUGGAAAUUUCCAACCAAUAACAAAACAAACAAGACCGCCUGAAUACAAGCAAAGUAAUGAACGGAAAGACCAAAACCUUAAGCAAGUUGGAGUAAUUAAGAGAGAAAAAACAAUCAAGGUGUUAUGUCUAAGGGUCUUCGAGUGCCCCUUUUUUUUAAUUAAUUUUUCUUUUCCUUUCAAAACUUGCUCCUCGAAAGAAGAUCAUGGUAUAUUUUUAUUUUUAUUUUCUUUUUCUUUUUUUGUGUACGGAUCUAACUUGAAAUGCCCAACGGUGGGCGCCAAACUGUUUACGAUGCAAAUCAAAUAGAUCUCUAGAGGAAGAUCCAUCAUAUCUAAUUACCACAAACUGAUUUUAAAAGUGAGUGAUAAAGAUUAGGGAAAAUCAAAUUCUGAUAUGAGGCCAGAUCUAUUAAAAAACGAAUAGAUCAGCUCUCAAAUAAAUGGUAGAGCCAUUAUNNNNNNNNNNNNNNNNNNNNAAGUACUACACGUCUCUACUAAUAAGUAGUAGUANCUAUAUAUAUAUAUAUAUAUAUAUAUAUAUAUAUAUAUAUAUAUAUUGAAUGAAUAAGAUAAAAACCUAGAUCUAACAAAAUAAUUGAAAAAUAAAGGAAAAGAUGAUGAGAAGAAUACCUGGCCGGGCCAGUUUGCCCGACAAGUCCGAGGCUUAGAGGCCUCACCCGUAUUAGGACUUGCAGAGUUUACGUCAUGCAUCCUAUUUGUCUCUUUUCAGGUUUUAACCAAGCUUUGGCUUGGUUGAAUUAGAGUUUUGUUGAUCUAGUCUAAAGUUGGUUUCAGAGGGGCUAGGCCUUAAGAUUGCAUCUCUAUAUCUAGGUUUUAUUAUGGUUUUCUUCUUAGGCUCUCUCUAACACUUAGAUUGGGUUCACAAAAUCCAACCCAAAUGGGUGUGUAAUUCAAAGGGAGCCCAAAUAUGACCAAAAUUAGCAGUUGUGUUUUUGUGAUAUUGCCUACAAAAAAUCAGGUAAAAAUAAGUUGUUUUGCUAUUUUUACUUGAUUUAUUACUAAAAUAAUGGUCUUGUAGGAUUCUGGAUCACAUCAUAGGGAUCAUAGAUUAUGAUGGUCUACCGUUCGGGGGUUUACUGGGAUAAUACGAUCCUAAGGAUUCAAGACUAUCACAGAAUUCUCCAGUUUAAAAAUGGGUGCUUACACUAAUUCAGCCUGCCUAAUCAAGGAAAUAUUAUCCGAUCUGCAAAAUAAAUAAAUAAAGUAUUACCAUUUCACAAUAAGCAAUAUCUUAGCUAGGUACCAUAAAGUGACAUAUGACAAAUCUCAUAGUUAACGACCAAUCUCACACUAUCAACGCAAUGGAAAACAAUAGUAGCUUUGAUCCAUACUUUUAAAGGUGAAAGCACCUUUCAAAAUUUGGGGUCAAUCAAAUCGGAAAAAUCGUGGGAAAAAAGGAGGCUCGGAAUCACAAGAUGUAACUCAAAUCAAGAGGGCACGACGUGGAGAUAAUUCAAUAUUGUCUCCCUUAGAAAACCUCCAUAAUAAUCCAUCAAUUACGUGACCUAAUUUACUAACUUGGAUCCCAAAAUAUUGGGAAACUUUCAAUCAAUUAAAUAUUGUAAAACUUAAUGAAAACUCCCUCCAAAAUCAAUACAACCAACCACAGAUCAUAGCCUUUAAUAUAUAUAUCAACCUUAGAUGAAAAACUCUUCAUGAAAAACUAGGAGAUAGGAAUACCUUGAUAUAAAUGGUGUUUUAUAACCAUGGAUUGCUUCAAUGUUGAAGGAUAUUGAUGAAGAUCUCACUCAAUUUGAAAACAAUGAAGCUUUAUGAUCAACCUCCAACUUGAUGGGGCUUCAAUUGAGCUUUAAUGGAGCUCAAUUCUACUUUUUCUCACUAAGAUCAUUGAGAUCUACUCAUUUCAUCACAUUUUAUCUCACUAAAACUCACUUUAACACACUAGAGGAGAGAGAGAAAGAGGCUUGGGGCAGGCCACUUUUAG